UGCCAGAGUGGUGGAAUUGGCAGACACGCCAGACUCAAAAUCUGGUCAUCUUCACCGGUGGUGUGGGUUCGAGUCCCACCUCUGGCAU
rnacentral:tRNA from 1 species